ACGGGUGAGUAACACGUAUGCAAUCCACCUGUAACAGGGGGAGUAACCCGGAGAAAUCCGGACUAAUACCCCAUAAUAUGGGCGCUCCGCAUGGAGAGUCCAUUAAAGAGAGCAAUCUUGGUUACAGACGAGCAUGCGCUCCAUUAGCCAGUUGGCGGGGUAACGGCCCACCAAGGCGACGAUGGAUAGGGGUUCUGAGAGGAAGGUCCCCCACAUUGGAACUGAGACACGGUCCAA
rnacentral:rRNA from 1 species